rnacentral:rRNA from 1 species
GACGAACGCUGGCGGCGUGCUUAACACAUGCAAGUCGAACGAAGUGGCGAACGGGUGAGUAACGCGUAAUCAAUCUGCCCUUCAGAGGGGGACAACAGUCGGAAGAGACUGCUAAUACCGCAUACGGAGGGCUGGGAGUGUGUCUGGUUGGGUAGUUGGAGGGGUAACGGCCGACAAGGGCGAUGAUCAGUAGCCGGUGGGAGAGGAUGAAGGGCCAGAUGGCGACUAGUGCACGGGCCAGACGCACACGGUAGACAGCAGAGGGGAAACUGCCGCAAUGGACGAAAGUCUGACGGGGCAACGCCGCGUGAGUGAUGAGGGCGUUGGGGUUUGAAAGCUCUGUUAAUCGGGACGCGGUACCGGAAUAGAAAGCGACGGCUAACUACGUGCCAGCAGCCGCGGUAAUUC